GAACUGCGAUAAGUAAUGUGAAUUGCAGAAUUCAGUGAAUCAUCGAGUCUUUGAACGCACAUUGCGCCCCCUGGCAUUCCGGGGGGCAUGCCUGUCCGAGCGUCAUUGCUGCCCUUCAAGCCCGGCUUGUGUGUUGGGUCGUCGUCCCCUCCGGGGGACGGGCCCGAAAGGCAGCGGCGGCACCGCGUCCGGUCCUCGAGCGUAUGGGGCUUUGUCACCCGCUCGAUAAGGACCGGCCGGGCGCCAGCCGGCGUCUCCAACCUUUUUUUCUCAGGUUGACCUCGGAUCAGGUAGGGAUAUCCGCUGAACUUAAGC
rnacentral:misc_RNA from 1 species